AAGGAGUGAGAACUCUUAGCGUAAUAAAACAUCCGAAGUUCUAAGACCCCCCACAUGUUGUGAAUUUGGUUGGAGUAAAGAUCUAAGGGUCCAUACUGGGCUAUAAAAAUAGUGUAGUACUUGAGCAGUACUGUAAAAAUGGCAAUUAUAAAUAAUUAUGAGUGUUGAGGAGGUAAUAUGAACACUCAAGUUCAAAGCAGUAAAAUAAAAAUUAAAAAAAAAAGACAGACUUAGGUAAGCCAUCUAUCAACUCGGAGAAUGCUGAUGCUUUGUUGAAAGAGAGCUUUGUCUUACAAAUUAGGCACUUAUAAAACUAUAGUUAAAAUACAUAGGGAAGGGCUUCAAGAUGGCUGACUAAAGGCACCUAGCACUCGCCUCCUCUGGAAAAAAGGACCAAAACACAACAGGCUAUUGGGUUUGGAGUGAAUUCUCAGAAACAUCACUACUGACAUAACUCCAUAAAGAAUUCAUAAUUUCUACUCACAUGUUUUACCCACAUCAAUAACAGAAUCUCAGGAAAACCAAAGUGGAGUUUACAAUGUUCAUUUUGACACUGUGCAUUAGACUUCUCGACUUCAAGCUACAAAAACCAGCACAGAACCUGGAAAAAUUUUACCUCCUGGCAUUUUUGUUUCUCUACCCUGAUGCUUGUUGUUGAGUUUUACCCAUGCUUUGACCAUCAGCAAAUUGAAGACUCAUCACUCACUGCAGAUGUUACUUUAAGACAUUCUGGAGCAGCGUCAUGUGCAGGAGAAAAUAGUAUCAUCUCAGCCUUCUAUGAAAUCAAGGCAAUAUUCAUGUGAAAGUAUAUUCCAAACCCAGAACCUGAGCACAGAUUGGGACUGAGAAACACUUGUCUAGAUUGUCAGGCAAUCUGUAACAUCAGCAGUGGAUGGAAAGAAGGAGAAAGAUGAGUUUUAUGGACGCUAACCCAUCUAUAUGGCUUUGGAAAAUAAAGUACUGCUGUUUUUUUUUGUAAA
rnacentral:lncRNA from 1 species